rnacentral:rRNA from 1 species
AGAGAGAGACAUGCGCGCAUAUCAAUAAGCGGAGGAAAAGAAACUAACAAGGAUUCCCCUAGUAACGGCGAGUGAAGCGGGAAGAGCUCAAAUUUGAAAUCUUAAAGGGUUUCCCUUUACGAAUUGUAGUUUAAAGAAGUGUUUUCUGUUGAGGUUUUGGUAAAAGUUCUUUGGAAUAGGACAUCAUAGAGGGUGAGAAUCCCGUAUUUGACCUUUACUUUCAACUUUGUGAUACACUUUCAAAGAGUCGGAUUGUUUGGGAAUGCAGUCCAAAAUGGGUGGUAAAUUUCAUCUAAAGCUAAAUAUUGGCGAGAGACCGAUAGCGAACAAGUACCGUGAGGGAAAGAUGAAAAGAACUUUGAAAAGAGAGUUAAACAGUACGUGAAAUUGUCAAAAGGGAAGCGUUUGACACCAGUGUUGUUUUUCUGAAAAUCAAUUAAAGAACUGUUUAUGCUAAGUUGUUUAGACUUUAUCAGCUAAUCUGUUUAGUUUUGAGCUUUUCUUUAAUGCACUUUUCAGUUAACAAGUCAACAUCAAUUUCUUUUGCUGUAAAAAAGCUUGAGGAAGGUGGCUUGAGAUUCGUCUUAAGUGUUUAUAGCCUCUUGCCUAUGCAGUCGGAGAGAUUGAGGUCUGCAGCGUAGAUCCUUCGGGCUAAUGCAUUUGUGCUAAGUUAUAGCAUUUUAUAGACAACUUGUUGACUAUGAUUUGUCUUGUAGCUUACUCGCUUAUGUUAUUUUACCUACGCUUAGGAUGUUGAGCGCAUGUCUCUCUCU